GACGUAGGGCGCGAGCGUUGUUCGGAAUUACUGGGCGUAAAGGGCUCGUAGGCGGCCAACUAAGUCAGACGUGAAAUCCCUCGGCUUAACCGGGGAACUGCGUCUGAUACUGGAUGGCUUGAGUUUGGGAGAGGGAUGCGGAAUUCCAGGUGUAGCGGUGAAAUGCGUAGAUAUCUGGAGGAACACCGGUGGCGAAGGCGGCAUCCUGGACCAACACUGACGCUGAGUGAGCGAAAGCCAGGGGAGCAAACGGG
rnacentral:rRNA from 1 species